UGUGUAGGGGGUCGGGUAAGUUUGACGUGAAAGCCCGCUGCUUAACAGCGGAACGGCGUCGAAUACUGCCCGGCUGGAGGUUCGGAGAUGAGAGCGGAAUUCUCGGUGUAGCGGUGAAAUGCGUAGAUAUCGAGAGGAACGCCGAAGGCGAAAGCAGCUCUCAAGACGACACCUGACCCUGAGACACGAAGGCCAGGGGAGCAAACG
rnacentral:rRNA from 1 species